GGGUUCCUACGGGGGGCAGCAGUGGGGAAUAUUGCACAAUGGGGGAAACCCUGAUGCAGCGACGCCGCGUGAGUGAAGAAGUAUUUCGGGAUGUAAAGCUCUAUCAGCAGGGAAGAAAAUGACGGUACCUGACUAAGAAGCCCCGGCUAACUACGUGCCAGCAGCCGCGGUAAUACGUAGGGGGCAAGCGUUAUCCGGAUUUACUGGGUGUAAAGGGAGCGUAGACGGAAUUGCAAGUCUGAUGUGAGAAGCUGGGGCC
rnacentral:rRNA from 1 species